AAAGUAUCUUCUCUUUUUCAUUUACGCAUCCUUGCAUUGGCUGGAAAUCCUUGCGUUUCUUCUAAAUCUCAUAGGAUUCAAAUAUUUUCGCACUUCAAGGCCAGAGAAUUCAUUCUCGAUCGUGUGAAGAUAACAGAUGCUGAAAAGGCUAAAGUUAAACUCAUGUGCAACAAGAUAACUCAACCUGAUGAAAGCCAACACUCUGUGGUGUCUGAUAACUUUGAUGAUAAACUGACAAAAAAGUGUCAUACGUCCUACACGGAUGAUGAUCAAGACUCAGGUUUUGGUGGAAAUUAUACCGGAAGUGUUGAUGAUGGAGGUCUAAUGUUUGAUUGGAGUUGCU